AACGAACGCUGGCGGCAGGCCUAACACAUGCAAGUCGAACGCCCUAGCAAUAGGGAGUGGCAGACGGGUGAGUAACACGUGGGAACCUUCCCUGUAGUACGGAAUAGCCCAGGGAAACUUGGAGUAAUACCGUAUACGCCCGAAAGGGGAAGAUUUAUCGCUAUAGGAUGGGCCCGCGUAGGAUUAGCUAGUUGGUGAGGUAAUGGCUCACCAAGGCGACGAUCCUUAGCUGGUUUGAGAGAACGACCAGCCACACUGGGACUGAGACACGGCCCAGACUCCUGCGGGAGGCAGCAGUGGGGAAUAUUGGACAAUGGGCGCAAGCCUGAUCCAGCCAUGCCGCGUGAGUGAUGAAGGCCUUAGGGUUGUAAAGCUCUUUUGGCGGGACGAUAAUGACGGUACCCGCAGAAUAAGUCCCGGCUAACUUCGUGCCAGCCGCCGCCGUAAU
rnacentral:rRNA from 1 species